rnacentral:rRNA from 1 species
AACGAACGCUGGCGGCAGGCCUAACACAUGCAAGUCGAGCGAACCCUUCGGGGUUAGCGGCGGACGGGCUAGUAACGCGUGGGAAUAUACCCUUUGGUACGGAAUAGCCUCGGGAAACUGAGAGUAAUACCGUAUGUGCCCUUCGGGGGAAAGAUUUAUCGCCAAAGGAUUAGCCCGCGUUGGAUUAGAUAGUUGGUGGGGUAAUGGCCUACCAAGUCUACGAUCCAUAGCUGGUUUGAGAGGAUGAUCAGCAACACUGGGACUGAGACACGGCCCAGACUCCUACGGGAGGCAGCAGUGGGGAAUCUUAGACAAUGGGCGCAAGCCUGAUCUAGCCAUGCCGCGUGGACGAUGAAGGCCUUAGGGUUGUAAAGUCCUUUCAGAUGGGAAGAUAAUGACGGUACCAUCAGAAGAAGCCCGGCUAACUCCGUG